CAUGGUUGUCGUCAGCUCGUGUCGUGAGAUGUUGGGUUAAGUCCCGCAACGAGCGCAACCCUCGACCUUAGUUGCCAGCAUUCAGUUGGCACUCUAAGGUGACUGCCGGCUAAAAGUCGGAGGAAGGUGGGGAUGACGUCAAAUCAUCAUGCCCUUAUGACCUGGGCUACACACGUGCUACAAUGGGCGGUACAAAGGGUCGCGAACCCGCAGGGGGAGCCAAUCCCAAAAAGCCGCUCUCAGUUCGGAUUGUAGGCUGCAACUCGCCUGCAUGAAGCCGGAAUCGCUAGUAAUCGCGGAUCAGCAUGCCGCGGUGAAUACGUUCCCGGGCCUU
rnacentral:rRNA from 1 species